ACUCUCAGCCACAGGAGCGAGGCCUGCACAGGCAAGCUGUGGGCGUGAUUACCGCGCUCCCUGUGCCAUCAAUCAAAUGAAGUGUGACGGCCCGUAAAAUGAACUGAAAGUGCACAGCUAAAGAUCCAGGCUUUGCUCAAUUUGUAAGAUUGGCAUACAGCGCUAUAGCAGGACUGAGUGUUGGUGCGCUUGUGUUCCAAAGCGGCGGUGAGUGGAGCCGCUGAGUCUGUUCUGAGCCAGCUGUAAGUAACGCGAUCCGAACAAGAAACACAUAGCGAGGACACACACAAGUGGUGGAGAAUCCCGCAGAGAGGAUUACAGUUGGGCAAAAAAUACCAAAGCUGAUGAGCUGUCCCGAAGUUUUCCUGGAGGGGGUGAUGUUGACGAUCUGGUGUCGAUUUUCCAGAAAGGGGUGAUUGUCUCUGUGUUACAAUCAGAUCUGGAGGGGAUGGUGUUGGAGGCUCAGGGGGAUGCUUCGGUCACCUGCCCCCAGGGGAUGCCUUUGAAUUUGAGCCUUAAAAUAUUAAAAGAACACCAUAACUCUGUACUCGCUGGGCACCCAGGUAUUAGGGAAACCUCAGAUCUAUUGUCUCGUAAUGUUUGGUGGCUGAGGUCGCACCAGGGUGUAGUUGAUUUUGUGCCCACAUGUACAACCUGCGCACUUGCUAAAGUCACUCAUACUUGUCCGGCGGGGUUACCACUGGUCAUUCCCAACAGGCAGUGGACAAACCUGUCGAUGGAUUUUAUUACUGACCUACCUGUAUCUGUGGGUAAAACUGUUAUCCUGGUAGUAGUAGACAGGUUCAGUAAAAUGGUGCAUUUCAUUGUCUUACCCGUGUUGCAAAUGCUAGAACCCUGGCUCAGGUUUUUAACAGUGAAAUAGUGAAGCUUCAUGGGGUCCCUUACGAUGUUGUUUUGGAUCGUGGAACCCAGUUUAUUUCUAAAUUCUAGAGAGCUUUUUGUUCUCGUUUUGGGGUACAUUUGUCCUUUUCCUCAGCCUUCCAUCCGCAGUCGAACGACCCGACAGAACACACCAACCAAAACCUAGAGACUUACCUUAGGUGUUUUGUGUCUGAAAAUCAGGAGGAAUGGUCAUCUUACCUCUAGGAGAGUUUGCUAUAAACAAUCGCCAUCAAGAGUCAACUGGUAAGUCACCAUUUUUUGCUGCAUAUGGUUUUCAUACUCAAUUUUGCACUUUCAGUGAGGGGGAGCCUUCUGGGAUCCCUGAGGAAGAACGGUUUAUGUCAUCACUCUCUUCUGUAUGGCGAAAGGUUCAAAGCAACUUAAAAAAAUAUGGGAGACAGAUGUAUGGCUGAUAAAAAACGUUCCCCAGGUCCGGACCUAGGGGUAAAUGACUAUGUGUGGUUGUCCACUAGGAAUUUUAAGUUAAAGGUUCCCUCUUGGAAAUUGGGUCCUAGGUUUAUCGCUCCUGAUAAAAUAGUUGCCGUCAUUAACCUCGUGGCAUUUCGCCUAGAGCUAUCUCAAACUUUUAAAAUUCAUAAUGCUUUUCAUAAAUCGUUGCUCAAAAAGUAUGUUGCACCUCCAGAACUAUCACCUUUACCUCCCUGAAAGGGAUUUUUCAUAAAUCUUACUUUUGAUACAUCACAGAUUAGACAUAUAUUAUACAAGCCUCAUCUCUUGUGGAAUGCAGUACCUUGCAUUAACAUA